UCAUAGAAGAGACAGUUAACUUCCUGUCUAGGAGCAAGGAGAGAUGCAGAGUGGUGAGUGCCUCACGCUCUUGAUGUGGAGGCUGCUGGUCCGCCUCUCCAGAGAGCAACUUGUCUUUGGGGGCCGUGGAGCAGAGGGUCUGGAGAACCUAGCCGCUGCUGUUCAAGUAUGCUGAAGAUGAUGGAUGACCACAACGGCCAAUAAAGAUCUCAGUUUUAGGUGAUACUCAGGAGAAAAAGAAAGGAAAAGCCACACUGUUCAAUCGCUGUGCUUAUCAGCUCCAUGCUAUUGAGACCAUUUGGCCGAAAAGGAACGUCGUGUCUUGCCACCCCCAGGAAGGACCAUGCAGGAAGCACAUCUUCAGCCACGGGCUUCUCCUGGAGGAAGGCUGGGAGAAAUGACUGCGGCUGCUGCACACAGGAAACAGGAAGGUGUGCUUCUAAGCAUGAAGAGCUGUCACUCGUUUCCUCAGGUACUGAGAGCCUUGGGCUUCAGGGACCAGAACUGACCCAACUACAACAUCCAACUUUCAGAGGACUUAAGUGACCUCCAUACAGACUGGAGUAUGCUAAGCAUAGGUUCUACCAUUCAACUGCACCCCAGCAUCUGUUCCCCAAGUUUACUGUGAUACUGAUUUCAGCAAAGACGUCUAGGCCUGAAAGAC